rnacentral:tRNA from 1 species
GCCACUGUGGUGUAGUGGUUUGAGUGCUGGACUAGGAUUCUGGGAGACCAGGGUUCAAAUCCCCACUCUGCCA